UGUACUAUUACUGUAUUGUACUGUACUAUUACUAUAUUGUACUGUACUAUUACUGUAUUGUACUGUACUAUUACUAUAUUGUACGGUACUAGUACUAUACUAUUACAGUAUUGUACUAUUGCUGUACUGUACUAUUACUAUAUUGUACUGUACUAUUACUAUAUUGUACUGUACUAUUACUGUACUAGUACUAUACUAUUACAGUAUUGUACUGUACUAUUACUGUAUUGUACUGUACUAUUUCUAUACUAUUACUAUAUUGUACUGUACUAUUACUAUAUUGUACUGUACUAGUACUAUACUAUUACUGUAUUGUACUGUACUAUUACUACAUUGUACAGUACUAUUACUGUAGUAUUACAGUAUUGUACUAUUACUGUACUAUUACAGUACUAUUAUUAGUAGUGUACUGUACUAUUACAGUAUUGUACUAUUACUGUACUAUUACUAUACUAUUACAGUAGUGUACUGUACUAUUACAGUAUUGUACUAUUACUGUACUAUUAGUGUACUAUUACUGUACUAUUACUGUACUAUUACAGUAUUGUACUGUUACUGUAUUGUACUAUUACUGUACUAUUACUGUACUAUUACUGUACUAUUAGUGCACAAAGUUUUCUCUGUGCACUCAGUUCUGCCCUGAAACUGGUGGAAUUCCUAAUUAGUACACUACUUUUGACAAGAGGCCCCAUAGGCAUUUGGGACACAGGUCUCUGUCUUUCUCGUGGCUCAUAUUCUUGUGUUGUGGAAGACUGUCGCUCUGCUAUGCGGCAGCGUAGUCUUCUCUGUAAAAUGGAAUGUUCCACUUUUGUUUGUUUACUUGUUUACUAUACUGUUGUUUUGUUGUUGUUGUUAAAAACAUGUAUUUUUCUUUUUAAAUAUUAUCUUGAUCUUUUGAAGUUCAUGUGAACAUGUCAAAUCUGUGAUACGCUGUGAUAUUCCUGCGGGUUUUUUUAACAUAAAAAUUGAAUUACUGGAAUCUAGAAUAGUCAUUAUAUUAAUUGUAUUUCCAUGGUUUAUAAUAUAUGACAAGAUCUGUGCCUCAACUUUUUUGAUGAUUUUUGAUGUUAUGACAGACACACACACACUUUUGAUGUUAUGACACACACACACUGUUGAUGUUAUGACAGACACACACACACUGUUGAUGUUAUGACACACACACACACACUGUUGAUGUUAUGACAGACACACACUGUUGAUGUUAUGACAGACACACACACACUGUUGAUGUUAUGACACACACACACACACUGUUGAUGUUAUGACAGACACACACACACUUUUGAUGUUAUGACAGACACACACAGGUCUUUGAUGUUAUGACAGACACACACACAGGUCUUUGAUGUUAUGACAGACACACACAGGUCUUUGAUGUUAUGACAGACACACACAGGUCUUUGAUGUUAUGACAGACACACACACAGGUCUUUGAUGUUAUGACAGACACACACAGGUCUUUGAUGUUAUGACAUAAAAUCAGUGUAAUAAAUGAAGGAAAGUGGUGAAAACACUGAGAAAUAAAAUGGAGGAUUGAAGAGGGAA